rnacentral:tRNA from 1 species
GCGGUCAUCGUCUAGUUUGGUCUAGGACACUGGCCUUCCAAGCCCGUAACCCGGGUUCAAAUCCCGGUGACCGCACCA